GCGGAAGUAGUUCAGCGGUAGAAUACCACCUUGCCAAGGUGGGGGUCGCGGGUUCGAAUCCCGUCUUCCGCUUCA
rnacentral:tRNA from 1 species